rnacentral:rRNA from 1 species
GACGAACGCUGGCGGCGUGCUUAACACAUGCAAGUCGAACGGAAAGGCCCUGCUUUUGUGGGGUGCUCGAGUGGCGAACGGGUGAGUAACACGUGAGUAACCUGCCCUUAACUUUGGGAUAACUUCAGGAAACCGGGGCUAAUACCGGAUAGGAUCUCCUGCUGCAUGGUGGGGGUUGGAAAGUUUCGGCGGUUGGGGAUGGACUCGCGGCUUGUCCGCUUGUUGGGGUAGUAGUGGCUUACCAAGGCUUUGACGGGUAGCCGGCCUGAGAGGGUGACCGGCCACAUUGCGACUGCGAUACGGAGCAGAAUGCUACGGGAGGCAGCAGUGGGGAAUAUUGCACAAUGGGCGGAAGUCUGAUGCAACGGCGUCGCGUGCGGGAUGCCGGCCUUCGGGUUGUAAACCGCUUUGGAAUGUGACGAAGCGUGAGUGACGGUAAUGAGUAAAGAAGCACCGGCUAACUACGUG